UUAGGCCUCACUGGAGGGCUGACUGCUGAUGGGGAAGGGAGUUCUGGUUGGAGUCCUGCCUCGUGGAGUCUUUCCUGUAAGCCUGGAUCCUCAGAGAUGGUGCUUCUCUUUGGGAUACUGAGCCAUCACUGAGGUCCCACACAGCUGGUGGCACCUUGUGCAGGCCCUGUGAAUGCACCCACAAGGAUGCAUCAACCCAUAUCUCCUUCUUCAUUCUGCCAAGGGUAUGGAGCGAGAGAGCACGGACUAGUGCUGUGGAUGUGAACUGGGCAAGAGUUAAACGCUGCCAUGGAGCUGUUGUCUCACCUUUGAAAAUGCAGUGGGAGAUACGUACCUCUGCUCUUGUGAAGAAUCCUGUUUUCUUGCUGGCAGCACAGCCUGCUCCAAUUAGGAAAACAAGAUCUGAAACAAGGCCUGGAGUUGGUCUGUCCCCUGCUGUGGCAGUGGCACUGUUGCUGCUUUUGUGGUUACGGCAGUUCGCAAAUCCUGCUCAUGCAUGGGGUGCUGAAUGCUGGCAGGGCAGAGUGUAAUUCCUGACAUUGCUGGAAGGCUGGAAGAGAAGAAAAGUCCAAGGGAAGCCUGGCAGUGGAGUCACUGCUGGUUGCUCAACCCAGCCCAUUGACAUCAUGUAACAUAAUGGUAAAUAACACUGAAGACCUCCUUUCUGUGAAGACCAUUUUUGGCAGUGUAAUUCAAAACAGGCAGGCAUGCACACAUGUAUGUAUGUGCAUGUGCACUAAAGAGAAUAAAUAUAUGAUAUUAUUU